GAUGAACGCUGGCGGCGUGCCUAAUACAUGCAAGUCGAGCGAACAGAUAAGGAGCUUGCUCCUUUGACGUUAGCGGCGGACGGGUGAGUAACACGUGGAUAACCUACCUAUAAGACUGGGAUAACUUCGGGAAACCGGAGCUAAUCCCGGAUAACAUAUUGAACCGCAUGGUUCAAUAGAGAAAGGCGGCUUUGCUGUCACUUAUAGAUGGAUCCGCGCCGUAUUAGCUAGUUGGUAAUGUCACGGCUUACCACGGGAACGAUACGUAGCCGACCUGAGAGGGUGAUAGGCGACAGUGGAAGUGAGACACGCUCCAGGCUCCUACGAGAAGCAGCAGUAGGGUAUCUUCCGCAAAGGGCGAGAACCUGACGCAAUAACGCCGCGUGAGUGAUGACGGUCUACGGAUCGGAAAACUCUCUUAUCAGUGAAGAACAAAUGUGUAAGUACCUGUGCACAGCGUGACGGUACCUGAUCAGAAAGCCACGGCUAACUACGUG
rnacentral:rRNA from 1 species